GCAAGUCGAGCGGGAUUAUUUAGAGGGAACUUUCCGGAGGGAACAUUAAAUAUGAGAGCGGCGAACGGGUGAGUAAUAUCUUAGAAUCUGCCCCUAAGUGAGGGAUAGCCACGGGAAACUGUGAUUAAUACCGCAUAUGCUGGAGACAGUAAAGCCUUCGGGCGCUUAGGGAGGAGCUUUGAUCCUAUCAGUUAGUUGGUGGUGUAAAGGACCACCAAGACUAUGACGGGUAGCUGGUCUGAGAGGAUGAUC
rnacentral:rRNA from 1 species